GUGGCCUUUGAGCCACAGCUCUUGUCGUUGGUGGCAGUUGUAGGCUGGAUUCGUCGCUCCAUACGAAAAUCACAUGUUAUGCAUAUGCCGCCUUCAUUCCCCUUUUGAACUCGCCCCUUGCAUCACUCAUUCAAUCUUUUCCUACAGCUCUACUUAGUCAUCUAAUCUAUUUCCUCUUUGUAAGGUUGGUUAUAUUCAACAAUCCUUCUUUCCCCCAUAAGAAUUUGUUGCCCAAGUUUUGAUUUUGAUAACAGCAUGCGCUACUGCAUAUCCAAGUUUGUUAAAUGGCAUCCGCCUCUCAGGAAUUUCAGCUCCGCCAACAGCACCGUCAUGUCUUACAUUCAGCAAAAUAGCAAUUAUGGAAUUACUUCAACAAGUGACAAUAAUGAUGGAACCGCUCCAAAGAUGCAUGAUCCUGCAUGUCAAAAGUUUCCUGCAGACGAACCUGUUUCCAACGUGCUUGUUGAUUCAUUUGGGAGGCAACAUACUUAUUUGAGAAUCUCAUUGACAGAGCGUUGUAAUUUGCGAUGCCUGUACUGUAUGCCUGCUGAAGGCACGGAGCUAACUCCGAGCCCUCAACUUCUUUCACAGAACGAGAUUGUUCGCCUAGCAAAUUUAUUUGUCAGUUCAGGUGUUAAUAAAAUUCGUCUGACUGGUGGGGAGCCCACAGUUAGGAAGGACAUUGAUGAUAUUUGCCUACAGCUCUCACACUUGAAAGGGCUAAAAACACUUGCUAUGACAACUAAUGGAAUCACCCUGGCAAAUAAACUUCCAAGAUUAAAGGAAUGCGGGCUUACUUUGGUAAACAUAAGUUUAGACACAUUGGUUCCAGCAAAGUUUGAAUUUAUGACUCGGCGGAGAGGACAUGAAAGAGUGUUGAACUCCAUCGAUGCUGCUAUAGAGUUGGGAUAUAGUCCUGUCAAAGUAAACUGUGUUGUAAUGCGAGGUUUCAAUGAUGAUGAAAUAUGUGAUUUUGUUGAAUUGACGCGUGAAAAGCCAAUAAACGUAAGGUUUAUUGAGUUCAUGCCUUUUGAUGGGAAUGUCUGGAAUUCAAAGAAACUAGUACCUUACUCGGAGAUGAUGGAUAUUGUGGUAAGGUCAGGCAAGGUACUCCAGAGAAUUCAGGAUCACCCCACUGAGACAGCCAAGAAUUUCAGGAUUGAUGGGCAUCAGGGUACAGUUUCUUUCAUUACAUCGAUGACUGAGCAUUUUUGUGCUGGUUGCAACAGACUGAGACUUUUAGCUGACGGGAACUUUAAAGUUUGCCUCUUUGGUCCGUCGGAGGUAAAACAUUGAGUCGCUCAUCCUCACUAAUAGUUUGCCUCUUUAGUACUCCAUGAUUCAAGGGUUUGAAGCAUAUUUCUUUUGCACCCUUCCCUUCAAGAUGCUCACUUGCCCUACAUGUUGGAGUUGAAAAUGGCUUGAUCAUGUAAAUUCGUGGUUGACACUUGGUUAACAUUAGGUACUAUAUCAAAUAUUUUAAGAUUAUCAAAGGAAGCUCACUUGAACAACUUCUUAGUUCUGUUUCAUCUUAUUGCAAUUAUCAGUGAGUUUGUCUGUCAAAAUGCCAGGCACAGUUAGACUAUUCUUUCAGGGUAAGUUUUAUUUGUUGAUUGUGUAAUAUCUUUAGUAACCCCAGUUAUUCCCCAAACAACUCUUAGGCACAGUUCGGUGAGCAGGUUAGCUUGAGGGACCCCCUGCGGAAUGGUGCUGAUGAUACUGAACUUGAGGCAAUUAUUGAAGCAGCG